rnacentral:rRNA from 1 species
AGAUUGAACGCUGGCGGCAGGCCUAACACAUGCAAGUCGAGCGGCAGCACGGGUACUUGUACCUGGUGGCGAGCGGCGGACGGGUGAGUAAUGCCUAGGAAUCUGCCUGGUAGUGGGGGAUAACGCUCGGAAACGGACGCUAAUACCGCAUACGUCCUACGGGAGAAAGCAGGGGACCUUCGGGCCUUGCGCUAUCAGAUGAGCCUAGGUCGGAUUAGCUAGUUGGUGAGGUAAUGGCUCACCAAGGCGACGAUCCGUAACUGGUCUGAGAGGAUGAUCAGUCACACUGGAACUGAGACACGGUCCAGACUCCUACGGGAGGCAGCAGUGGGGAAUAUUGGACAAUGGGCGAAAGCCUGAUCCAGCCAUGCCGCGUGUGUGAAGAAGGUCUUCGGAUUGUAAAGCACUUUAAGUUGGAGGAAGGCAGUUACCUAAUACGUAUCUGUUUGACGUUACGACAGAAUAAGCACCGGCUAACUCUGUG